rnacentral:pre_miRNA from 1 species
CCUGUUGCCGCAAACCCGUAGAUCCGAACUUGUGUUGAUAGAACACACAAGCUUGUGUCUAUAGGUAUGUGUCUGAUAGG